UCUGGUAUUUCAAUUGUGAUAACCUUCCUGAGCAGCAAGGUUUGUGUGGGAUGGAGAUUAAAAGCCAGGCACAAUGCACCCUUGUCACUAGGUAGAGUGAGAAUCACAUAACCCUCAGGGAAGAAAGUGGUUCAGAGGGGGACCCCAUGGCUCAUCAGGAAGCACCAAACCCAGAGAUCCUUCUGCAGAAAGCCCUUUCUGAAGACUUGCACAUCAUUUCUUGAUGCAUGGAGACUCCAGUCUCAGAGAAAAGCCUGUGUCUUCCUGGCUGGUUUUGCAGAUGGGUCAGUCUUUGCCUCAUGAAUAUGGGCUUGCAGCAGGUCAUCAGGAUUUAUGGUGUGAUCCUUGUCCACCUUUCCCAUGGCUCUCUCCUAAGUCAGACAUUUCCAUUUCAAGCCCUGACAAUAUUGAGGAAGAGAUUUAUUGGAGUGCAUCUCACAGCCUGAAUCCUUUGGAGUCAAGGGCAGACGGAGAAGGACAGAAAAGAGAUUACUUUAAGACCUAGCUUAUCCUGAGGUGAUAGCUCUCCGAAAUGCCAGCACUAUUGAUGUAUUGAUAUAAUUAAACACGUCUGCUGAAAUGUCACCGCCGCUGCCCAGCGAUCUGACGGACAACUCGGCUGGGGGAAGUUCUUAAACAGCACAGACAGAUUGCUGGGAUGCUGUGGUCUCCACUCAUGUCCUUCUGCUUCAUAAGUGAUGGAAAGCUACUGAAGGCAAGGAGGGCUAGUGAGUCCUACAUAAAUGAUUA